GAGAGCACCUCCCUUACAAGGAGGGGGUCGGCGGUUCGAUCCCGUCAUCACCCACCA
rnacentral:tRNA from 1 species